rnacentral:rRNA from 1 species
GGUGAACGCUGGCGGCAGGCCUAACACAUGCAAGUCGAACGGCAGCACAGAGGAGCUUGCUCCUUGGGUGGCGAGUGGCGGACGGGUGAGGAAUACGUCGGAAUCUGCCUAGUUGUGGGGGAUAACGUAGGGAAACUUACGCCAAUACCGCAUACGACUUACGGGUGAAAACGGAGGACCUUCGAGCUUCGUGCAGCUAGAUCAGCCUACGUCGGAUUAGCUUGUUGGCGGGGUAACGGCCCACCAAGGCGACGAUCCGUAGCUGGUCUGAGAGGAUGAUCAGCCACACUGGAACUGAGACACGGUCCAGACUCCUACGGGAGGCAGCAGUGGGGAAUAUUGGACAAUGGGCGCAAGCCUGAUCCAGCCAUGCCGCGUGAGUGAAGAAGGCCCUCGGGUUGUAAAGCUCUUUUGUCCGGAAAGAAAAGCGCUCGGUUAAUACCCAAGCGUCAUGACGGUACCGGAAGAAUAAGCACCGGCUAACUUCGUGCCAGCAGCCGCCGUAAGAC